rnacentral:rRNA from 1 species
GAUGAACGCUGGCGGCGUGCCUAAUACAUGCAAGUCGAGCGAACAGAUGAGGAGCUUGCUCCUCUGACGUUAGCGGCGGACGGGUGAGUAACACGUGGAUAACCUACCUAUAAGACUGGGAUAACUUCGGGAAACCGGCGCUAAUACCGGAUAAUAUAUUGAACCGCAUGGUUCAAUAGUGAAAGACGGUUUUGCUGUCACUUAUAGAUGGAUCCGCGCCGCAUUAGCUAGUUGGUAAGGUAACGGCUUACCAAGGCAACGAUGCGUAGCCGACCUGAGAGGGUGGUCGGCCACACUGGAACUGAGACACGGUCCAGACUCCUACGGGAGGCAGCAGUAGGGAAUCUUCCGCAAUGGGCGAAAGCCUGACGGAGCAACGCCGCGUGAGUGAUGAAGGUCUUCGGAUCGUAAAACUCUGUUAUUAGGGAAGAACAAAUGUGUAAGUAACUAUGCACGUCUUGACGGUACCUAAUCAGAAAGCCACGGCUAACUACGUG